rnacentral:rRNA from 1 species
CUUGGUCAUUUAGAGGAAGUAAAAGUCGUAACAAGGUUUCCGUAGGUGAACCUGCGGAAGGAUCAUUAUUGAAUCCAUUCAUAUUCGUGAACUAAAUUUGCUUCGGCAGUCAUAAGACGGCCGGAUAUUUAACUCCAAUUGAUUUGUCUGAAAAAAAAAAUUAAAUUUUAAAACUUUCAACAACGGAUCUCUUGGUUCUCGCAUCGAUGAAGAACGCAGCGAAGCGCGAUAGGUAUUGUGAAUUGCAGAAUUGUGAAUCAUCGAAUUUUUGAACGCACAUUGCACCCACUGGUAUUCCGGUGGGUAUACUUGUUUGAGCGUCAUUUCUCUCUCCCUUUGGGGUUUUGGCUUGAGUAUUCUAGCUGAAUUAUAAUGGUGCCGCUAAUUGGACUUACAACGUAAUAGAUAUUUCGUUUAGUGUUUAGUAGAAAGCUCACCUAAAAACAUUAUCUGACCUCAAAUCAAGCAGGACUACCCGCUGAACUUAAGCAUAUCAAUAAGCGGAGGAAAAGAAACCAACAGGGAUUACCUUAGUAACGGCGAGUGAAGCGGUAAAAGCCCAAAUUUGAAAUCUGGCUCUUUUAGAGUCCGAGUUGUAAUUUGAAGAUGGUACUCUGGGUCUGGUCCAGGCAUAUGUCCCUUGGAACAGGGCGGCAUAGAGGGUGAGACUCCCGUUCUGCUUGGGUGCCAGUCCUAUGUAGAGUAGCUUCGAAGAGUCGAGUUGUUUGGGAAUGCAGCUCUAAGUGGGUGGUAAAUUCCAUCUAAAGCUAAAUAUUGGCGAGAGACCGAUAGCGAACAAGUACAGUGAUGGAAAGAUGAAAAGAACUUUGAAAAGAGAGUGAAACAGUACGUGAAAUUGUUGAAAGGGAAGGGCUUGAGAUCAGACUUGGUGUUCAAUGAUCAGCUACCUCUUGGGGUGGUGCACUCGUUGUUUACUGGGCCAGCAUCGGUUUUGACGGUAGGAUAAUGACUUGGGAAUGUGGCUGGCUUCGGUCAGUGUUAUAGCCCAGUGUUGAUACUGCCAGUUGGGACCGAGGACCGCGCUUUAUAGCUAGGAUGCUGGCGUAAUGAUCUUAAGCCACCCGUCUUGAAACACGGACC